GGGGGGGCCGCUGGCGGCCCCCACCCACGAGGCUGCCCCGCGCCAGCUUCUGCAGCUCGACGGGCACCACGGCGCUGGGGCAGUGCUUCUCGAUGUAGUCCUGGAAUCCCUGCACUCCCAUGCGAGCGCCUGCCUCGGCUGCCAGCAUGCUCCUACAAACCUCCCAGCCUGCACAGAGCAGCAGAGCUGAACUCGUGCCAGGAAAGUGCUUGUCUCGUAAGAGAGCUCUGCAUGAUUCAGUUAUGGAAGAGAAAACAGUGCAAAAAACCUGUGUCAGAGCAAGAAUGGCAGAACUAGCCCACUUCAACAUCUCACACAGAUGAAAAAUAGCUCAGAAUUAAAUACAGGUAAAUUGUUAUACCUCGUCUUCUAUCAUAAAGAUUGCUUAAAAUCUUAAUUUUCAUCCCACUGUCAUGUUCUAUUCACCUAUAAUUUAUUACUGAACAGUUAAGCCCUAAUGGUUUACAUCUCUCCUAGAGCCCAGUGCAGGCAAUCCCGUGCUCAAACUCUAGUAAAACUGCAGAUUGUUAAACUGAGUGCCUCCCUCCAUCCACAGGUUGGAAGCUUGUCUAAACUGGCCUCUGCUGCAUAUUCCAACAAUUACAAACAUACCUGAAACCAGACAUGGUUUGACUCUGGAGUAACCUUGUUUUCAUCUGGUAAGGGAAGUGGUUCCCAGAUCAGGAUGAUACAUGAAAAAAAGCAUGCAGAUAAGGCAUCGUUUGCCCAAACAUGUCAUCAGAAACUGACUUCCUAAAGGUAUGUCUCAGACUGGAGAAUGCAAACACAGAUGUGUGAUAUUUUUCCAUUUCAGAACAAUCAUUAUAAUAUCCCUGUGAUGCAAAUUACCCUCAUGGCUUCUUAAUCCCAGUACUGACAGAGGGAGAGUAAUCUGAAUUCCCAGAAGCACUAUGUUGGAGAACUCUCCAUUUAGUUCGGCAAUUCUGGAAAACACAUUGCCCCAGCUAACAGUAUUGGGGAAAAGGAGAUUAUUUCUGGUGUGGUACCAUGAGGCAACAGGCCCUGUUCUCAGGGAAGAAUCUCUAAUCUGAAAUGUAUCAGACCAGUUCUUUCUCUUGUAAUAUCCUAAAGGAAAACAGAAUUAUUCAGCUUUUUGUCACAAUGUGUAGAAAAGUGUGAAGUCAAAAACAAGUCUAAGCUCCUCCUCAGUGGAGUGACAAUGGCUGUCUCUUUAAACUAAAAACACACUGUCCCCAGUGCCCUCUGUAAAACAGUGGGACAUCACAGAAAGUUUUUUUAGUGUUUGAGGCUCAGUUUCCCCAGGAAUCAGUAAUUACCACAAAGAGAACUGCAGAGAUGUGGGACAUCUUUACUGCUUGCAGUACCACCACCACACUGCUGACUGCCAGGCAGAUGGCAUAUAAAUGGACUGAAAAAUCCACUGAAAUGCUUUGAUGUUGUAUAGAUGCAGAAUUUGAAGGGAUUAUGAGUGUUUGUUUUUAAAAGAAAAUUAAUAAAAGACAGUUAUAAGGCUAUGGAAAAUACUGAUGGUAUAAAAGAAGAAGAGGAAAUUCUCAUUGUUUUUCUCACUGUGUAAGGAACAUGGGCAUUCACAGAGGGAGAUACAGUGUGCAAAAAAACCUAAACAAGCCCAAAGAAACCAUUCCCUGUUGGAUUUCACUAUGUGUCCUUACUGCCAAGCCUGUUCCUACCCACCUCAGGUGAGUAGGGAUCAUGGCCCAGCCUGCCCAAACCAGCCCUGCUCGCUCCUGUCUCUCAUCAGAGACACCACAAGUAGCACCUACAUGGUGCUGCAGCACUGAAAAUUUGUGACUGGAAGCAAAUGGUUUGGCAGGAGAGAAAAAAAUAGGUGCAGAGAGGUCCCUGUCCUCAGAAAGCCUACUGAACCAAGCCUUUUCCCUUGGAAGAAGUCGUAUUGGCAUGGUAAAUUUAAAUGUAACAGUGACAGUGGCAGAAUAUUUCCGAGAAAGCCCCUUAUUAAUAUUUUGGCAGCAUGAGAUUGUUUUUUUCCCAAUUGCACAUGUUGCUCCAUCUGCCACAAAGCCAUUGGUUCCAACAGCCUGGCCUUCCCUGGGAAAGGGGCAUCACAACACGUGAUGAUUGUUGUUGGGCUGUGAGGAGAGGAAGGUGACAGGAGUGUGUGUGUGUGUGUCUCACACUGCAGUGCUGUGCCCUCUUGGCGAGGAGUUUGCUGUGAGAAAACAAGCCAGCUGAGGAGGUGUUUCCUUCCUGUUUACUAGUGUGUGAACUAUUAAUUUAGUUGUGUUUGGUACCUUAACUGGUGGCCUGUUCUUAAAGGGUUUGAGCAGAGGGUAGUGGGCUACAUAGCUUGCAAUAGCAGCAAAGGCAAAACAUUUGUUUAAAUUUAGUAGAAUUCUGUAAAUAGGCUUUUAAGAAUCACAUUAAACAAGAAAUGGUUCUAUUUUUCAACAUCCAGUGCCUCAUUUUGGAGUAUACAAAAGUUCUUUCGUAAUUAAAAAAAAAUUGAACAUUUUUGUCUUUUGUUCUUCAUUGACAUCACACCAACUUCUCACCAUUCACAGGGACAGGAGGGAGAGUCCUCCAUGCCAGGACAGCCAGGGCACAUCAAUCAUCCACAUGCCAUCCCUGCUUCAGCUCAGGACUCUAUCUUCUGAACCUCAGGUCACCUCCCAGCCACGGUGGUACUGGCUUACCUGGGGCAUUUUUGGAGCUUAACAUCAUAACAGAUUUCCUAAUUGUGCCAUGUUACUUUGUAUGGUAGCUGCCUCUGCUGUACCAGGACAAAAUAUACACUUAAGCCUUUGGGCAUGAGAGAUUUGUUUUAUGCCAGCACAUCCCCAUUUCUCUGCCCUAAAACCCCAUUGGUACCAAAUGUGAAGUCACAUCACGUAGGCACUGGGAAAAAAAUACAGGCAAAUGAUGAAAAGUGCAAAGAAACAUGCUGUGCCUCUGAGUUGGUCACAUUUUAUGUGAUUCAGUGUAAACUGUAAGUAAAACUAAGUUAAAGAUUCUAUUAUGUUUGAGAUCUAUAUCUAGCAGGAAGGGGAAUACUGUACACAGCACUUGGUGUAGGAAUUGCUGUGCCACUGCUCCAAAGCAGGGCAUCAGCCUUUAAACUCACACACUGCACUAUUGCCUGCUCUGAGAAGCAUGCACAGGCCUUCCUAGAGUGUGGAUAUUCCUAGAGCAGCAGCCAUUUACACAGGCCUUCCUAGAGCAUGGUCACACCACCACACUGGUCAAGUAACUCAGCAGAAACAUGGAUUUAUUUGCUGUUGCCAGAGAGUAAAAUUUCACUUCAGCAUACAAGAAAACUAUCUAAGAGCUCCCUGUUCUGCUCCAGGUGGAAGAAAAAGAAGGGAGCUUUUCUAAGUGUAAAUUAUUGUUGUUCAGCUUCAUAAUAAUUUUCUUGUCUUGAGGGACUUGGUUUAUGAGUACGGUGUUAAGAACUCUGAAAGGCCAGCAGUGUGACAUGACAGGGCACGAGCUGUGCUGUAUUCAUUUCCAGUUACUGUGCUGGCAUCAUACAACUACAUCACCGAAAUGAGAUGCAAAUUAACACGAUAUAAUUAUCUCAUUUGAAUGUCUCACAGUGAUUUUACUCUGUGCUACGGCCAGUGCUCUCACGGCUCGUCUGGGUUCUGCAGAUGUUGGGAAGGCAGCUCCUGGGGCUGGGCUGGAUCCAGCAUCCAGGCUGGGGAACAAGCCUCAAACUGCUUGUUUGAAAGUUGGGUUCAGGGAACUUUGAUGCUUAACAUCAACAACUUGUUUCUCUCACAAACUACGUUAUCCGAGGAGUUGUUUGUGAACACUGGGAGUUAAAAUUUCACUUUGGCUCAGAUGGUGCUGGUUAAGGACGUGAACACGGUGCACAAAGUCUUUUCUGCACUGACAGGUUUAAAAAUCAUUUCAGAAGAAGUUAGAGAGCAAAAUAAAACUUCCUUUUGCAAAAUUCAUAUUUUAAAAAAUGUUAGUUGGGUUUUGACUGGCAGUUCUCAGUAUUUCUAUGUGGAUUUCUUUUUUUUUAUUUUUAUUUUUAACUGUUUUUCAAGGUUUUCCUGUUUUCAUAGUGGACAGCAAGAGACAAUGGAAGAGAUGCCCAUCCGUGUCCCAGUUAUGGUCACAAGCAUCAUAAUCCAUGAAUUUCAUGACUUUUCCAUUUCCAUUUUCCUACAACCAUCACAGAGUUCUGGGCUGGCAGCUGCAGCAGCCAUUUACAGUAGCUGAAAUACCAGCAGAGCGUUUCCCCUGCACACCACCCAGAGAAACAGACACAUCAUGCAAGUUCAUAUAUACAGGGAAUGGAAUUGGGACUAAUGUUUGAAGACUUCUCCCAACAAAGCGCUCCCAAAUGAUUUAUGGCAGGAGUUACUUGCCGAGUGAUUACAACACGUGUGUCUGGAACAGAAAUGUUAAAAGGAAAUCAAUCUGCUUGUGGACAAAUAAUGAAAAGAGGAAAAGGAAAAAUUCCUCUAACAAAUAUGAAACUGCAAAUUAUUCACUCAGCUCAGUUGGCAACAACCAAUUUUUGUGGUAGUAGGAGCUUGUAGAGUAGGAGGUAACUGUGUGAAGAAUGAUUGAUUUGGUAUCUUAUAUUGCAAUUCUGGAAGGGGUUCAACAUCUAAUUUCAAAGCCAUUUUCCUCCUUUUACCCAGUAAAGAAAACAAAAUGAUAGUUGAUGUCUGUGAGCUGUUUUGGGCAGAUAGGAUCUAUUUUGUGUCCUCUGGACACUGACAAUGGCUGGCUCAUACGAAAGAACAGUUAUUUAUUAGAAAAGAUCUCUCUUGCCAGAAAAAAAAAAAACCAAAACCUGCCUGAGGAAGGACAUUACCAUCGUAAUGCUUUUUGCAUCUUUCCAGAAAAGACACAUGGGUCUGAACUCGGUGCAUCUUUGGGUUGUGGAGCCUUGUGUAAGCUGCACCUCCACCAGCUCAUCUUUCAGUUCACAGUAAUAAAACAAUCACUUAUUUAUUUCCCUCUUGGAAGAAUACAAAACACAUUUUGGACAUCUCUCACCUAAGACCACCUUUUGUCUCUCUUUCCCCACUCCUGGGAGGUAGGCAGCCACCCUGUGAGAGGCUCUGGAAUGCUGCAGGGGGAUGCCAGCAGUGAGUGUUGUCUCCUGCUCAAGACAGAGAGUGACUGUAGCAUGCUCUGUUUAUGCCUCUGGAGUGGUGGAUGUGAGUUCAGCAUUCAGAUCUCCUUAACUCCUUACAUGUGUAUUCUCAAUUCAAUAAUGCAAUUCCUAGUUUAAUUCCUGAGCAGGCACGUGCUGUCUUCCCAAGGCAUAAAGAUGUGAGGGAAUCCACUUCAUCCCUACUUCUUUACUUCACAAAAACCUUAAAAUGCUAAAGCCAUAAAUAGGCAUUACAGCACAAUCUUUGGGUGAAUGAUCUCCAACAUUACUGCAGAUCUUAGUCAUAGUGAAAGCUUUUACAAGCUACUUUGAGCUAAUGGCAGAAUAGUUUUCAUUUAAAGCAGUGAUGUGUUCCUUCCCACAAAUGCUAAUUGCCAUAAUUCUAUUGUAAGUUCUGGGCUUAGUUCUGGGCUGAGUUAGCUCCUUAUAACUUAACACUAAUCAUUGACCAGAGAUUAAUUUUACUAUUUCUGUGGUUUUGGAGAGAAAGUUACCAAGACUGAUACACUUCCAUGUCCACCAAAGGCAACAAUGGAAACAAGGUGUAUUUCUGCAAGAAUUUUCUAGGCAACCUCUUCAAAAACAGAAGGAUGUGCUGCAGAAGGUGAUGUUCAGGAGCCAUUUCACCAGCCCACAAGGAUAUGGGGUGAGGGUAUUUGCAUCCAUCUGAGCUGUGCCCAAACCAUCGUGAGUUCCUGACUCUUACACCUUUCCUCCUAUUCUGCAAAUCCACAUUAGAUUCAGACUACUUGAAAUGUCUGUGGAUGGCAAUGCCAGUCCACAGCUGGUGAAUGUCCUGCUCACCAUUGGGUGCCUUACAGAAUCACAGGAUCUGCUGAGUUGGAAGGAACCCACAAGGAUCAUCCAGUCCAACCCCUGGCCCUGCACAGGCCCAUCCCCAAGAGUCACCCCCUGUGCCCCAGAGGAUCAUCCAAACCCUCCUGGAGCUCUGGCAGCCUUGGGGCUGUGCCCACUGCCCUGGGGAGCCUGGGCAGUGCCCAACCAGCCUCUGGGGGAAGAACCUUUGGCUGAGAUCCAACCUGAGCCUGCCCUGACACAGCUCCAGCCAUUCCCUGGGUGCUGUCCCUGGUCCCCCCAGAGCAGAGCUCAGUCCCUGCCCCUCCUCUGUCCCUGCCCAGGCAGUUGGAACUGCACUGAGGUCUCCCCUCAGUCUCCUCUGCUCCAGCUGAACACACCAGGUGCCCUCAGCGUCCUCACAUGGCUUCAAAUCAAGGCCCUUUCUGCAGCACCCUCCUCCCUGGGACUGGAGCAGGGGCACACAGCAGCUCAUCACCUGCAAAGGACUUGUCAGAGGACAGCUGAUGUGUUGGUGGACCAAAUUCCACAAUUUCACUGCAGAAGAGCUUUCAUUCUGACUGUAACAUGAAUAUAGACAGAUUCCUCAGCCUGCUCCAGUCUACAAACUGCAGAUAAAUAUGUAGGUUGUUUGAUCCUGGUUACAAAACCCACCACUGCCCUUUGCCUUUACCCUUCCCCUUCCCUGCAAUUUGAGGAAGUUUGCUUAUAAAGGGCAAUAAAAUGUUCAGCUGCUGCAGGUCCCCCUAAGCCCACCAGCUUUUUUGCUUUUGUUUAAUUUGCUACAUGUGAUUAAUUCCAGUGAGUUUCUGCCAGGCAGAAUCUGCAACUAAAAAUACCCUGAGUACACGUAGUGUGCUGCAACACUGCCGGGAAGUAAACACAACCAUAGUCCUCAUAAUCACUGUUUUCCCAAAGAACUGCUGCUCCCAGCAGACAGCCUAUUUCAGGCUGUAAAUAGAAAUCAGAAAAUGAGAUUUUCUUUCCCUGGUAGUUCUUCUCCUGGGAAUUUUAGUGCUUUCCUCUGUGCACCUGCUUUGGGUGUUGGUGGCAGCCUAUUUGUAAUACCUGUCUCAGAGGAUUGGGCACUAGAGCCUGCUCUGAAACACUGAAACACCAGUGGACAAGGGACAUCAUUCCCACUAGUACCAACAUGUUUUUUGAUAUAAAAUCACGUGUAAGAUCAAAACCAGAUCAGGAUAGCCUGAUUUACUCCAUGAUUCCAGUGACAGUUCAUUCCAAAUUCAGAUUUGCAAAGUAAGUAAAGGUAUUUCCCAGCUCCUUGCACUUCCUGUUCCAAUAGUGGCAAUACAUUUGCCACUCUCAGUUUUGCAGACUGCCUGUUACCUGCUGUGGAUUAUCCAAGUCCAGUCACGAGCACAGACACUCCUGUCAAUACCAGGGAUGUCUGGCCUUGCCUCCAGUUCACAGCUCAGACACUGUUAUCUGAAUCCAUAUCAUGUGGAUCUAAUGCAAGAUCUUUGCACAGCCUUUAAAUCUGAGAAGUUCUAAUUAUCUACCAUCAAUUCUUCUAUCAUCAGUUUUAUCAUUCUUCGUGUAUUAUACUUUUUUUUUUUCUGGAAAAAGCUUUGCCUUAUUAGGAAUUCAAGAGAUUGUGUUUUGGUACAGCAACAUGCAGAUCUCAGGACUUGGGAACAAAUCUUUAAUGUCAGAUGCAUUUUUCUGUUACUUCUAAUGGUAUCAAGAAGGAUUUUUUGUGCUAGGAAAUACCUUCAUUAUUUCAUGACAUGGGUGAUAUUUAGGCCUGUAUCCCCUCAUUUGAUUGAAUGCUACUCACAGGCAUCCUUUGACCUGCUGAGUAGCCAGUAGUUUAUUUUAGUCAACUGUAGUAGUACUGAGAAGCACUCUCUUCCUGCCUAUAGAAAUAAAAAAAAUUAACCUUGGAAAA